UCUCCGUAGGUGAACCUGCGGAAGGAUCAUUCAUAAUAAAGCGUUUUAUGGCGCUUUUUAAAAAUCCAUAUCCACCUUGUGUGCAAUGUUAGAUCUCGUCAAUCUUGGCGAGAUUUUUAUACAUCAACUCAUUCCUUAACUAAUUUGUCUGAAAAAUAUUAUGAAUACUUAAUUCAAAAUACAACUUUCAACAACGGAUCUCUUGGCUCUC
rnacentral:misc_RNA from 1 species